rnacentral:rRNA from 1 species
AGCAGUGGGGAAUUUUGGACAAUGGGCGAAAGCCUGAUCCAGCAAUGCCGCGUGCAGGAAGAAGGCCUUCGGGUUGUAAACUGCUUUUGUACGGAACGAAACGGUCUGCUUUAAUACAGUGGGCUAAUGACGGUACCGUAAGAAUAAGCACCGGCUAACUACGUGCCAGCAGCCGCGGUAAUACGUAGGGUGCGAGCGUUAAUCGGAAUUACUGGGCGUAAAGCGUGCGCAUGCGGUUAUUUAAGACAGUUGUGAAAUCCCCGGGUUCUACCUGGGAAUUGCAUCUGUGACUGUUACCAACAGUACGGUAGAGGGGGAUGGAAUUCCGUUUGUAUCACGAAAUGCGUAGAUAUUGGAAACAACUUCCAUGGGAAAGCAAUCCUCUGGACCUGUCCUGAGCUCCUG